GGAUCUUUAGCUCAAAUGGUAGAGCACUUGAGAUUAAGAGUCUCAGAGAUGGUGGUUCAAAUCCAUCAAGAUCUU